GGUCCGGGCGUUAUCCGGAUUUAUUGGGUUUAAAGGGAGCGCAGGCGGACGUUUAAGUCAGUUGUGAAAUACGGCGGCUCAACCGUCGGGGUGCAGUUGAUACUGGACGUCUUGAGUGCACACAAGGAUGCCGGAAUUCAUGGUGUAGCGGUGAAAUGCUCAGAUAUCACGAAGAACUCCGAUUGCGAAGGCAGCUUACCGUAGCAUUACUGACGCUGAUGCUCGAAGGUGCGGGUAUC
rnacentral:rRNA from 1 species